CCUACGGGCGGCAGCAGUGGGGAAUAUUGCACAAUGGGGGAAACCCUGAUGCAGCGACGCCGCGUGAGUGAAGAAGUCUUUCGGUAUGUAAAGCUCUAUUAGCAGGGAAGAAAAUGACGGUACCUGAUUAAGAAGCCCCGGCUAACGACGUGCCAGCAGCCGCGGGAAUACGUAGGGGGCAAGCGGUAUCCGGAGUUACUGGGUGGAAAGGGAGCGUAGACGGCAGCACAAGUCUGGAGUGAAAUGCCGGGGCUUAACCCCGGAACUGCAUUGGAAACUGUGCAGCUAGAGUGCUGGAGAGGUAAGUGGAAUUCCUAGUGUAGCGGUGAAAUGCGUAGAUAUUAGGAGGAACACCAGUGGCGAAGGCGGCUUACUGGACUGUAACUGACGUUGAGGCUCGAAAGCGUGGGGAGCAAACAGGAUUAGAUACCCGUGUAGUC
rnacentral:rRNA from 1 species